CCUACGGGAGGCAGCAGUGAGGAAUAUUGGUCAAUGGCCGGAAGGCUGAACCAGCCAUGCCGCGUGAAGGUCAGUGCCCUAUGGGCGUUAAACUUCUUUUGUGCGGGAGCAAUAGUGGUCACGUGUGGCCAGACGAGAGUACCGUACGAAUAAGCAUCGGCUAACUCCGGGCCAGCAGCCGCGGUAAUACGGGGGAUGCAAGCGUUAUCCGGAUUAAUUGGGUUUAAAGGGUGCGUAGGCUGGGAGGUAAGUCAGCGGGGGAAUGCCCCCGCUCAACGGGGUGAAGUGCCAUUGAUACUGCCAUGCUGGAAUGCGGAUGAGGUGGGAGGAAUGUGUGGUGUAGCGGUGAAAUGCAUAGAUAUCACACAGAACACCGAUUGCGAAGGCAUCUCACGAAUCCGCGAUUGACGCUGAUGCACGAAAGCGUGGGUAUCAAACAGGAUUAGAUACCCGGGUAGUC
rnacentral:rRNA from 1 species